CACGUUGCGCUGCGGCACUGAACGAACAGACCUCCAAGCAGCAGCAGUCUACUCUCCUCUACACGGAAGACAACACCUGCCCUUAACGUAUUUAACUAGAUAACUACAAUAUUAUCAGGAUGCCUCACCAGUACCCAGCUCUGACCACAGAACAGAAGAAGGAGCUGCAGGAGAUAGCAGAGAGGAUCACGGCUCCGGGAAAGGAAUCCUGGCUGCAGAUGAGUCCACCGGCAGCAUGGGUAAGCGUCUACCCCAUCGGGGUAGAGAACACAGAGAGAACGUCGUCUGUAUCGCCAGCUGCUGUUCAGGCCGAUGAGAGAUGGACGCUUGUAUUGGGGGAGUGAUUUUCUUCCACGAGCACUCUCUACCAGAACACUGAUGACGGGACCAACUUCUCCCAGCUCAUCAAGGACAGGGGGAUUGUAGUGGGCAUCAAGGUAGGGACACACACACAUUAGCAGACA